CCCGCUCAGAAACUUAAAGGAAUUGACGGGGCCCGCACAAGCGGUGGAGCAUGUGGUUUAAUUCGAUGAUACGCGAGGAACCUUACCUGGGCUCAAAUGUAUGUUGACGUAUUCUGAAAGGGAUACUUCUUCGGACAAUAUACAAGGUGCUGCAUGGUUGUCGUCAGCUCGUGCCGUGAGGUGUCGGGUUAAGUCCCAUAACGAGCGCAACCCCUAUCAUUAGUUGCCAUCAGGUCAAGCUGGGGACUCUAAUGAAACUGCCUACGCAAGUAGUGAGGAAGGUGGGGAUGACGUCAAAUCAGCACGGCCCUUACGUCCAGGGCUACACACGUGCUACAAUGGCCGGUACAAAGGGCAGCUACCUGGUGACAGGAUGCUAAUCUCAAAAGCCGGUCUCAGUUCGGAUUGAAGUCUGCAACUCGACUUCAUGAAGCUGGAAUCGCUAGUAAUCGUGGAUCAGCCAAGCCGCGGUGAAUACGUUCCCGGGCCUU
rnacentral:rRNA from 1 species